rnacentral:ncRNA from 2 species
UCUAAAUCCGCCAGUGAUGGUUCCCCCUGUUGGGGGAGAAUAGGGAAGACGGUGCGCCAUACCGGCAAUGCCGUCGCUGCCCCCGCAACUGUAGGUGGCUAUCGCCCGGCCAGUCCGCGUCUUGCGGGCCGACAUGCGCCACUGGUCCCCCUGAUCGGGACCGGGAAGGCCGCCGGGAUCGAGGGCGCUGACCCCAGCACCCUCCGCCACAAGCCAGGAGACCUGCCAUCAUGUCCGCCCGCAG